GACCGCGUAGCUCAGUUGGAAGAGCAUUGGGCUAGUAUCCAAAGGUCGUAGAUUCGAAUCCCACCGUGGCCG